GUAAGGACAUGUGGAGCGCUUAGAAGUGAGAAUGCCGGUGUGAGUAGCGAAAGACGGGUGAGAAUCCCGUCCACCGAUUGACUAAGGUUUCCAGAGGAAGGCUCGUCCGCUCUGGGUUAGUCGGGUCCUAAGCUGAGGCCGACAGGCGUAGGCGAUGGAUAACAGGUUGAUAUUCCUGUACCACCUAUAAUCGUUUUAAUCGAUGGGGGGACGCAGUAGGAUAGGCGAAGCGUGCGAUUGGAUUGCACGUCUAAGCAGUAAGGCUGAGUAUUAGGCAAAUCCGGUACUCGUUAAGGCUGAGCUGUGAUGGGGAGAAGACAUUGUGUCUUCGAGUCGUUGAUUUCACACUGCCGAGAAAAGCCUCUAGAUAGAAAAUAGGUGCCCGUACCGUAAACCGACACAGGUAGUCAAGAUGAGAAUUCUAAGGUGAGCGAGCGAACUCUCGUUAAGGAACUCGGCAAAAUGACCCCGUAACUUCGGGAGAAGGGGUGCUCUUUAGGGUUAACGCCCAGAAGAGCCGCAGUGAAUAGGCCCAAGCGACUGUUUAUCAAAAACACAGGUCUCUGCUAAACCGUAAGGUGAUGUAUAGGGGCUGACGCCUGCCCGGUGCUGGAAGGUUAAGAGGAGUGGUUAGCUUCUGCGAAGCUACGAAUCGAAGCCCCAGUAAACGGCGGCCGUAACUAUAACGGUCCUAAGGUAGCGAAAUUCCUUGUCGGGUAAGUUCCGACCCGCACGAAAGGCGUAACGAUUUGGGCACUGUCUCAACGAGAGACUCGGUGAAAUCAUAGUACCUGUGAAGAUGCAGGUUACCCGCGACAGGACGGAAAGACCCCGUGGAGCUUUACUGUAGCCUGAUAUUGAAAUUCGGCACAGCUUGUACAGGAUAGGUAGGAGCCUUUGAAACGUGAGCGCUAGCUUACGUGGAGGCGCUGGUGGGAUACUACCC
rnacentral:rRNA from 1 species